rnacentral:rRNA from 1 species
UACAGAGGUCUCAAGCGUUGUUCGGAUUCAUUGGGCGUAAAGGGUGCGUAGGUGGCGUGGUAAGUCGGAUGUGAAAUCCCGGGGCUCAACCCCGGAACUGCAUUCGAUACUGCCUUGCUAGAGUACUGGAGAGGAGAUUGGAAUUUACGGUGUAGCAGUGAAAAUGCGUAGAUAUCGUAAGGAAGACCAGUGGCGAAGGCGGAUCUCUGGACAGUUACUGACACUGAGGCACGA